UUUUUCCUUCCUCUCAAGAAGAUAAAUGGGCCCUUUUGGGAUUCUUGCCUGGCAGGAGUGGGCUGGUCUGAUGAGACUCAGGGAUUCAUGCUUAUGGAGGAAAGGACAUUGACAGAAAUGGAAAUGCCAUGGAUUUCUAGAGACAAUGGAUGUGAUGUUGGGAUGGCUCUAACGAAGAAGCAAAAAUGAUAAAGCAGAAUGUUCAAGGCACUAAGAGUCAGAUCUCCCAGCUCUUCUCCAAUUUUGCCUGUGACUAGUCAUCUGUCUU
rnacentral:lncRNA from 1 species